GAAAAAGAUAGACAAAAAAAAAAAUAGAUAUCAUGUAUAUAUUUAAUUAUAUAUAAUUAUAUAUCAUGUUACAAGGAAAGAGCUAGGCAGCAUUGGGGAGAGCUUUCAUUUUAGAUGGAGUGACCAAGAGCCUGAGUGAUAAGGUGACUCUAUGGACAUGAAAGUGACAGGUAGGCACCAGGGGGACAGCCUUCCAGGCAGGGGGAACAGUCUGCACAGAGGCCCUGAGGCAGAAGCAAGCCUGAAUGUUUGAGGAACAGUGAGUAUGGCUGGAGUCAACCGAAGGUGGAGCACAGUGGAGGAAAAUGAGGUCAGAGAGUAGGAGACUGAAGGGUUUUGAGCACAAGGGUGGCACGGCAUGACACGUGUUUUAAUAGAAUCUCUCUGGCUGCUGGGUUGAGAAUACACUUAAGGAGGGUAAGGGUGGAGACAAGGAAACCAAUUAAGAAACGACUACCAUGAUCCAGGUGAGAGAUGAUGCAUGUGAUGUCCUUACCUUAGCACCUGACAUGAAACCAACUCUGGAUAAGGAUUCUCAUUAGUGUCCUAUUGUGACCCGAAUCCACACAUGCAUAGCUGGCAAAGGAAGAUCUCAGAUUUGUUUUCUUUUCUGCAUCUUUCUCAACCAUCCAUCUACUACCAUCAUCAUCAUUUUCCCUAAUCUUCUUAAACCCCAUCCUUAAUAUUCUUCCCCCUUUCUUCUCUCUCUGCCUCCUUCUCAUUCUGUUAUCUUCCUUUUAUUACUAUAAUGUUUUUUCUGGGCACAGUUUUGAAGAUUUGUUUUGAAUCUUGAAGAGAGAGCAGCAAGCCUUUUGGCCUAUGGAUUCUAAGAGUCACAUUCCAACAGGUGAUAUCAAAAGGACAAGGAAGCAGGGAGGGGUGACUUGCACGGAAGGUGCCCAGUGAGAUGUCUCUGCCAUGGAGAUUGUGCUGAUGCCACAAGCAAAGCGUUUGUACCCCUCUCAUCCACAAGAGAAGUCCCUCCGGGUAUUUCAGAUGUUACUAAGUUGCAGAGCCAUUUCUCCAAUAAAGGUGGGCCUCCUGUC
rnacentral:lncRNA from 10 species